GUAGCUCAGCUGGUUAGAGCACUGGUCUCAUAAGCCGGGGGUCGGGGGUUCGAGUCCCCCC
rnacentral:tRNA from 1 species